AUAGAGUCAAGUGAAUAAGUGCAUCAGGUGGAUGCCUUGGCGAUGAUAGGCGACGAAGGACGUGUAAGCCUGCGAAAAGCAUCGGGGAGCUGGCAAUAGAGCUUUGAUCCGGUGAUGUCCGAAUGGGGAAACCCACACAGCAAUGUGUAUCCUAAGCUGAAUACAUAAGCUUAGAGAAGCGAACCCGGAGAACUGAACCAUCUAAGUACCCGGAGGAAAAGAAAUCAACCGAGAUUCCGCAAGUAGUGGCGAGCGAACGCGGAGGAGCCUGUAUGUGAUAGUUGUCGGGAUAGGAGAAGGAAUUGGAAACUUCCGCCAUAGUGGGUGAUAGCCCCGUAUCCGAAAUUCCGGCAGUGGUACUAAGCAUACGACAAGUAGGGCGGGACACGAGAAAUCCUGUCUGAAGAUGGGGGGACCAUCCUCCAAGGCUAAAUACUCAUCAUCGACCGAUAGUGAACCAGUACCGUGAGGGAAAGGCGAAAAGAACCCCGGGAGGGGAGUGAAAUAGAACCUGAAACCUGAUGCAUACAAACAGUGGGAGCACCUUAUGGUGUGACUGCGUACCUUUUGUAUAAUGGGUCAACGACUUACAUUCAGUAGCGAGCUUAACCGGAUAGGGGAGGCGUAGGGAAACCGAGUCUUAAUAGGGCGUCAUAGUUGCUGGGUGUAGACCCGAAACCGAGUGAUCUAUCCAUGGCCAGGUUGAAGGUGCCGUAACAGGUACUGGAGGACCGAACCCACGCAUGUUGCAAAAUGCGGGGAUGAGCUGUGGAUAGGGGUGAAAGGCUAAACAAACUCGGAGAUAGCUGGUUCUCCCCGAAAACUAUUUAGGUAGUGCCUCAUGUAUCACUUCCGGGGGUAAAGCACUGUUAUGGCUAGGGGGUCAUUGCGACUUACCAACCCAUGGCAAACUCAGAAUACCGGAAAGUGCAAUCAUGGGAGACAGACAGCGGGUGCUAACGUCCGUUGUCGAGAGGGAAACAACCCAGACCGCCAGCUAAGGUCCCAAAUGAUAGAUUAAGUGGUAAACGAAGUGGGAAGGCUUAGACAGCCAGGAUGUUGGCUUAGAAGCAGCCAUCAUUUAAAGAAAGCGUAAUAGCUCACUGGUCGAGUCAUCCUGCGCGGAAGAUGUAACGGGGCUCAAAUCUAUAACCGAAGCUGCGGAUGCACCUAGUGCAUGGUAGGGGAGCGUUCUGUAGGCCUGAGAAGGUGUUUCGUAAGGAAUGCUGGAGGUAUCAGAAGUGCGAAUGUUGACAUGAGUAGCGAUAAAGCGGGUGAAAAGCCCGCUCGCCGAAAGCCCAAGGUUUCCUGCGCAACGUUCAUCGGCGCAGGGUGAGUCGGCCCCUAAGGCGAGGCAGAGAUGCGUAGUCGAUGGGAAACGGGUUAAUAUUCCCGUACUUGAUUUAAGUGCGAUGUGGGGACGGAGAAGGUUAGGUCAGCAAACUGUUGGAAUAGUUUGUUCAAACCGGUAGGUGGAAGGAUUAGGCAAAUCCGGUUCUUCAUAACACCGAGAAGUGAUAACGAGUAUCUACGGAUACGAAGUGACUGAUACCACGCUUCCAGGAAAAGCCACUAAGCUCUAGCUUAAAUCGAACCGUACCGCAAACCGACACAGGUGGGCAGGAUGAGAAUUCUAAGGCGCUUGAGAGAACUCGGGAGAAGGAACUCGGCAAAUUGAUACCGUAACUUCGGGAGAAGGUAUGCCCUCUGAGGUGAAGGAUUUACUCCGUAAGCUUUGGAGGGUCGCAGAGAAUCGGUGGCUGCGACUGUUUAUUAAAAACACAGCACUCUGCAAACACGAAAGUGGACGUAUAGGGUGUGACGCCUGCCCGGUGCUGGAAGGUUAAUUGAAGAUGUGAGAGCAUCGGAUCGAAGCCCCAGUAAACGGCGGCCGUAACUAUAACGGUCCUAAGGUAGCGAAAUUCCUUGUCGGGUAAGUUCCGACCCGCACGAAUGGCGUAACGAUGGCCACACUGUCUCCUCCCGAGACUCAGCGAAGUUGAAGUGGUUGUGAAGAUGCAAUCUACCCGCUGCUAGACGGAAAGACCCCGUGAACCUUUACUGUAGCUUUGCAUUGGACUUUGAAGUCACUUGUGUAGGAUAGGUGGGAGGCUUAGAAGCAGAGACGCUAGUUUCUGUGGAGCCGUCCUUGAAAUACCACCCUGGUGACUUUGAGGUUCUAACCCAGGUCCGUUAACCGGAUCGGGGACCGUGCAUGGUAGGCAGUUUGACUGGGGCGGUCUCCUCCCAAAGAGUAACGGAGGAGUUCGAAGGUUACCUAGGUCCGGUCGGAAAUCGGACUGAUAGUGCAAUGGCAAAAGGUAGCUUAACUGCGAGACCGACAAGUCGAGCAGGUGCGAAAGCAGGACAUAGUGAUCCGGUGGUUCUGAAUGGAAGGGCCAUCGCUCAACGGAUAAAAGGUACUCCGGGGAUAACAGGCUGAUUCCGCCCAAGAGUUCAUAUCGACGGCGGAGUUUGGCACCUCGAUGUCGGCUCAUCACAUCCUGGGGCUGUAGUCGGUCCCAAGGGUAUGGCUGUUCGCCAUUUAAAGUGGUACGUGAGCUGGGUUUAAAACGUCGUGAGACAGUUUGGUCCCUAUCUGCAGUGGGCGUUGGAAGUUUGACAGGGGCUGCUCCUAGUACGAGAGGACCGGAGUGGACGAACCUCUGGUGUACCGGUUGUCACGCCAGUGGCAUCGCCGGGUAGCUAAGUUCGGGAAGGAUAAGCGCUGAAAGCAUCUAAGCGCGAAACCUGCCUGGAGAUGAGACUUCCCUUGCGGUAUAACCGCGCUGAAGAGUCGUUCUAGACCAGGACGUUGAUAGGUGGGGUGUGGAAGCGCGGCAACGCGUGCAGCUAACCCAUACUAAUUGCUCGUGAGGCUUGACUCUAU
rnacentral:rRNA from 1 species